AAGCAGCGGAGCGUGUGGUUUAAUUCGAUGAUACGCGAAGAACCUUACCUGGUCUUGACAUGCACGUGGUACUGAUUCGAAAGAUGAGGGACCCUUCGGGGAGCGUGCACAGGUGUUGCACGGCCGUCGUCAGCUCGUGCCGUGAGGUGUUGGGUUAAGUCUCGCAACGAGCGCAACCCCCGUCGCCAGUUGUAUUUUUCUGGCGAGACUGCCGGGAAAUCCCCGGAGGAAGGAGGGGAUGAUGUCAGGUCAGCGUGGCCCUUACGACCAGGGCUACACACACGCUACAAUGGGUGGUACAGAGGGUCGCGAAGCCGCGAGGUGGAGCUAAUCCCACAAAGCCAUCCUCAGUUCGGAUUGCAGGCUGAAACUCGCCUGCAUGAAGCCGGAGUUGCUAGUAACCGCAGGUCAGCACUACUGCGGUGAAUACGUUCCCGGGCCUU
rnacentral:rRNA from 1 species